rnacentral:rRNA from 1 species
CCCUUAGAUGUCCUGGGCCGCACGCGCGCUACACUGACGGAGCCAGCGAGCUUACCCCUUUGCCGAAAGGCAUGGGAAAUCUUUUGAAUCUCCGUCGUGCUGGGGAUAGAUCAUUGCAAUUAUUGAUCUUGAACGAGGAAUUCCUAGUAAGCGCAAGUCAUCAACUUGCGUUGAUUACGUCCCUGCCCUUUGUACACACCGCCCGUCGCACCUACCGAUUGGAUGGUCCGGUGAAGCCUCGGGAUUGUGGUUCUUGCCGCUUUAUUGUGGCGUGACCGCGAGAACUUGUCUAAACCUUAUCAUCUAGAGGAAGGUGAAGUCGUAACA